rnacentral:rRNA from 1 species
UACGUAGGGUGCGAGCGUUGUCCGGAAUUAUUGGGCGUAAAGAGCUCGUAGGCGGUGUGUCACGUCGGCCGUGAAAACCUGCAGCUUAACUGUGGGCGUGCGGUCGAUACGGGCAUCACUGGAGUUCGGCAGGGGAGACUGGAAUUCCUGGUGUAGCGGUGAAAUGCGCAGAUAUCUGGAGGAACACCGGUGGCGAAGGCGGCAUUCUGGACCGACAUUGACGCUGAGGAGCGAAAAGCCCAGGGGGAGCAAACGGG